rnacentral:sRNA from 1 species
UUGUUACUUAUAUAGUGCCUUUGAUUAUAAAAUUAUCUAAUAACUACCAAGAGAGAGAGAGAGAGAGAGAGAGAGAGGAGAGGUAAAAAUAUGCAAGAAAAAUAUUUGCAUAGAAAAAACUCAUGUUUUAUUUUACAUUUUUGUGCCAAUUGAACUAUCAAUGUGAUUUAACUUGUGUAUUAAUUUGUGUCCCAUGUUUUGUAUUUGUACAUUAGUACUGCACUAACACUAUUGUCACAUGGGUUGUUGUUCCCAACAUUAAUAGGUAUAUAUUUAAGUAUGUGUGAUGAUGGAAAUGUACGUAGUCUGUGUGCUGAAUAACUCUAAAUUUUGUUGUAUUAGAAUAUGCCCCCAAUGAAUUGAGGGGGGACAUUAACAUUUCUUUUGAUUUUAAUUUAUAUUUAAUGAUACUACAUGUAUAACCAAUCCACAAUUUGUGUGAACAGUAUAAAAAACACCAGUGGAUUUUUUUUUUGGCAAUUGUGAUACAUGGCAGUUUAAUAUAUCACAAAGAAAAUAUUUAAAAUUAAUUUAAAGAUGAUACAUUUUCAUUUGAAAAGUAUUUAUCAUUCAACUUUUUCUUGAAAUGUAGUUCUUCAAGGGAAAAAACACAAUCUAAGAUUUAAAAACCUUUACUUGGGUUUAGUGUUUAUUCAUCAGAAUAUCGAAGUUCACUUACAUUUUGUGAACUAAACCAUUCUCAUGUUUUUAGCUCACCUUACCAGUAUGCUCAUGUAAGCUUUCUGAUCACCAACUGUUCAGUGUCAGCCUACUGGUCUGUCUCUCUCUGUCCAUUGGUUUGUAAACUUUUCACAUUUUUUGGUUUCAUCUAAAACCACUGGGCCAAUUUCAAUUUAACUUGGCACAAUAAUUCCUAAAACAAAGUAUUUACUAAAUUGUUUUAAAAAAUGGCCAAAACAAUUCACAUUUUGCCCCUUUGAGGGUUCUGAGUUUAGGAAAUUUCAGACAGGUGCAGAAAUUCUUUAGAUAUGUUAGGUGAGCAAUGUGGCACAUGGGCCUCUUGUGAUAUUAGGACAUAGUCAUAAAUCAUAGUCAUACUAGCCUCACUAUGACAAGUCAUUUUGUUUAUUUAUACAUUUUUUUAUAUACUUUUCUUGUCAUGCCAGUUGUUAAUGUAUAUGUAUAUAUAUUUACAAGCACUUUUUUGAUUUUUGUUUGUUCACUACUCCUAAUCAUGUGUUUCUACAAAAUAAAAGGUUGUAAAGCAUC